UACAGAGGGGGCGAGCGUUGUUCGGAAUUACCGGGCGUAAAGGGCGCGUAGGCGGCCUUCUAAGUCGAACGUGAAAUCCCCGGGCUCAACCCGGGAACUGCGUCCGAUACUGGGAGGCUUGAAUCCGGGAGAGGGAUGUGGAAUUCCAGGUGUAGCGGUGAAAUGCGUAGAUAUCUGGAGGAACACCGGUGGCGAAGGCGGCAUCCUGGACCGGUAUUGACGCUGAGGCGCGAAAGCCAGGGGAGCAAACGGG
rnacentral:rRNA from 1 species